rnacentral:lncRNA from 1 species
AAGGCUUUAGCGUAGAUAAUGAAGCAGAAGUAGAUGUUUUUCUGGAAUUCCUCUGCUUUCUCUGUGAUCCAAUGAAUGUUGGCAAUUUGAUCUCUGCUUCAGUGCAAGCUUGUACUCAAAAGAGCACAGGCUUUCUCUCAUAGACUGUGGGCCAGUCUGCUCAAUAGGCUUCUCCUUAACUGGGGAGGGGGCAGAGUUCUCUUGGAGCCUUUGCGGCUUGCUCUCUAGAUUGCAGUGCGCGGAUGAAGUCUCUCUGCACACAGCCUGCGGAGCUAAGCUGUCUGCUGCAGGUGUUGCACACUAGGAACCCUGGUCUGAAGUUCUCGGUGGAAGGCCUCUCUGCAUGGUGCACCCUGUGAGCAAGUGAAACCAGAAGAAAUAAAAAGGAAAAGAAAAAAAAAGUUAGAUUUUAUUACCCAGAUUCUAUUUUUAUUUCCUGGUAAUUGUUAAUUGGCUUUGCUGGUUAGAAUUUUGGUAUCAGGGUUUGUUGUUGUUCAGUGCCUAGGUCAUCUCCAGUUCUUUGUGACCCCAUGGACUGCAGCACGCCAGACUGCCCUGUCCUUCACUGUCUCUGGGAGUGUGCUCAGAUUCAUGUCCAUUGAGGUGGUGAUGCCAUCCAACCAUCUUAUCAYCAGGGUAAUGCUGCCCUAAUAAAUUGAGUUUGGGAUGUGUUUCCUCCUCUAUUCUGGAAAAGAUUGUGUAGAACUGGUAUUAUUUCUUCCUUAACUGUGAUUAGAAUUUACCAGUGAAAUUGUUUGUUUAUUCAACUUAAAACUCCUAUUAACGCCCAGUUCUGUUUGAGAAACAUCUGGACUGGGUUUUGUGCCCUGGUUCUUAUGAGGCCAAAAACUAUUGGAUGUCCUCCUCGGAUCCUGAGGUUCUCUUCUAGGCUGAAUUGAUGAGUCAGAACUCAGUUCCUUGCAGCUGUAGGACUGAGCACCCUGUGUCCUUGAUGGCUAUCAGCUGGAGGCCGCGUACCAUGCUCCUGGUCACAUGACCCUCUCGGUCUUUGAAACAUGCAGCGGAGAAUCUUUCUGUAGUAGUCUGCUAGGCCUGCCACAACAAAACACCGCAGAACGGGUUGCUUAAAACAAGGAAAUUUUUAUUUUCUUGCAGUUCUGAAGUCUACACAUCCAAAAUCAAGGUGCUUUCUGAGUUGGUUUCUGGUGAGAACCUUUCUCCCUGCUUUCUUGCUGUGGCCUGACAUGGCCUUUUUUCUGUGAACAUGCAGAGAGGGGCGUUAUCUGGUGUUUCUUCCUCUUAUAAGGA